UCCCAAAGUACUGGGAUUAAAGGCAUGAGCUACUACAUCCAGCCAAAAGCUACAUUUUCAAGACUAGAUAAAAAGGCUACAAGGUUCAUCUGCAAGUUUCUUCAAAUGGUUGCAAUGCUUACUGCAACCUCCAUCUCCUAGGCUCCAGUGAUCCUCCUGCCUCAGCCUCCCAAAGUGCUGGGAUUACAAGCAUGAGCUACUACAUCUGUCCAAAAGCUGCAUUUCCAAGACCAGAUUUAACCAAACUGCAAAGUCUGAGGGCAUGGUUCCUAAAAUUUCCCUCAUUCCUGACACGAACAGCAAGUUUUAGAGGUUUCCAAAGCACCCUAAGUUUCAAUCAUUUGCUGGAAGAACUCACAGAAGUCAUUGAAAACUGCUGUACACAUGGUUACUGUUUACUGCAGGGAAAGGAUACAAAUCAGAACCAGCACAGAGGGCAGGGCUAGGAGGGUCUGUGAAGCCUCUGUUGUCCUCAGGUGCAUUACUCUCCCAGCAUCCACGUGUGACAAUACCAUGAAGCACUGCCAACCUAGGAACCUCACCCAAGCCUUGGUGUCCGGAGUGUUUCCUGGAACUGCAUUGUGCAGCCAUAAUUGACUGAUCUGUUGGAGACUGGUUGGAACUCUGUCUUCAUCUCUCCCUUUCCCGGAAUCUGGGGCUGACAGCACAUUCCUGGGAGGGCCCACCAUGAGCCAGCUGGUAGCAUAAACUUCAGGUAUAGUCUGAGGGACCCACCAUGAAUAGCAAAGACCCUCCUGUCACAUGGUCUUCAGGACUACUUGCCAGGAGCCAGGACAAAGGCUAGACCUCUUCUUUGGGCUAGGCCAAAUUCUUUACCACACAGAAAUCAUAUUUAGGAUUCAAAUGUGCCAUUUUUAUUUGCUUUCUGCAUGUUUCUUAUGUUUCCUUUAUUCUGUUUUGUUUCACUUGUCAUGGAUUACUUAAACAGUUUUUAGCAUUUCAUUUUGAAUUAUUUAUACUUUUGGGUGCAUUGCUUUGUAUCGUUUUGUAAGUGGCUGCUCUAGGAUUGAUUAUAAUAUACCCACGUAACUUAUCACAGCCUGCUGGCAUCAAUGUUUCACCACUUCAUGAGAAAUAUCAAAAGCUUACUUUUAUUUACUUCCCCUUUUCCUCCCCCACUUAAACAUGUAAUUAUCAUAAAUAUUUCCUGUUCAGAUGUAGAGCACCGCAGCAG